rnacentral:rRNA from 1 species
AUUGAACGCUGGCGGCAGGCCUAACACAUGCCAGUCGAGCGGAUGAAGGGAGCUUGCUCCUGGAUUCAGCGGCGGACGGGUGAGUAAUGCCUAGGAAUCUGCCUGGUAGUGGGGGAUAACGUCCGGAAACGGGCGCUAAUACCGCAUACGUCCUGAGGGAGAAAGUGGGGGAUCUUCGGACCUCACGCUAUCAGAUGAGCCUAGGUCGGAUUAGCUAGUUGGUGGGGUAAGGCCUACCAAGGCGACGAUCCGUAACUGGUCUGAGAGGAUGAUCAGUCACACUGGAACUGAGACACGGUCCAGACUCCUACGGGAGGCAGCAGUGGGGAAUAUUGGACAAUGGGCGAAAGCCUGAUCCAGCCAUGCCGCGUGUGUGAAGAAGGUCUUCGGAUUGUAAAGCACUUUAAGUUGGGAGGAAGGGCAGUAAGUUAAUACCUUGCUGUUUUGACGUUACCAACAGAAUAAGCACCGGCUAACUUCGUG